AGUGGAGUACCUCGACUAUCAGAUACCCGUUACUCAGCUAAAGGGACCAAAGGAGUAUAUACUAUAUAGUCGGGUAAUUUUCGCUUAAGAAAGGGUAUAGGUGCAGGGGCGCGCCAACAGCGAAGAGAAAACAAAAGAAAUCAAGUAAAGGGCUGAGGAGAAGACAUUUAAAUUGUGCGCAGCAGAUUUACUUUUUUCGUUUCUAAAAGUGAAAAUCAUAAGGUCAGGUGUUUUAUGGGUUCCGUUAGCCAAAAGUGAAUGAUGAAAUGUCUUGUGCCAAUAAAAAUCCCGCGAAGGGUUAUAAACAGCUCUAAAAG